rnacentral:rRNA from 1 species
GACGAACGCUGGCGGCGUGCUUAACACAUGCAAGUCGAACGAUGAAGCCGGAGCUUGCUCUGGUGAAUUAGUGGCGAACGGGUGAGUAACACGUGAGUAACCUGCCCUUGACUCUGGGAUAACUGCUAGAAAUGGUAGCUAAUACCGGAUACGACCCUCGGCGGCAUCGCCAGGGGGUGGAAAGAAUUUCGGUCAAGGAUGGACUCGCGGCCUAUCAGCUAGUUGGUGAGGUAACGGCGCACCAAGGCGACGACGGGUAGCCGGCCUGGGAGGGUGACCGGCCACACUGGGACUGAGACACGGCCCAGACUCCUACGGGAGGCAGCAGUGGGGAAUAUUGCACAAUGGGCGCAAGCCUGAUGCAGCAACGCCGCGUGAGGGAUGACGGCCUUCGGGUUGUAAACCUCUUUUAGUAGGGAAGAAGCGAAAGUGAUGGUACCUGCAGAAAAAGCACCGGCUAACUACGUGCCAGCCGCCGCCGUAA